rnacentral:rRNA from 3 species
GGUGGAUUUUUAGCCCUGGUGGGUAGCUUCCCGGAAACGAAAGUCUUCCGGUUCCGGGGGAAGUAUGGUUGCAAAGCUGAAACUUAAAGGAAUUGACGGAAGGGCACCACCAGGAGUGGAGCCUGCGGCUUAAUUUGACUCAACACGGGGAAACUCACCCGGCCCGGACACCGUAAGGAUUGACAGAUUGAUAGCUCUUUCAUGAUUCGGUGGUUGGUGGUGCAUGGCCGUUCUUAGUUCGUGGAUCGAUUUGUCUGGUUUAUUCCGAUAACGAGCGAGACUCUAGCCUACUAAAUAGUAACGAGAUUAUCAAUGUCUCAGUUGCUUCUUAGAGGGAUUUUCGGUGUUUAGCCGCACGAGAUUGAGCAAUAACAGGUCUGUGAUGCCCUUAGAUGUCCGGGGCUGCACGCGCGCUACACUGGCGAAAUCAGCGUGCUGUAUCCAUUCUCGAAAGGGAUUGGUAAACCCAUGAAAAUUUGCCGUGCUUGGGAUCGGAAAUUGCAAUUAUUUUCCGUGAACGAGGAAUUCCAAGUAAGUGCGAGUCAUCA